rnacentral:rRNA from 1 species
AUUGAACGCUGGCGGCAGGCCUAACACAUGCAAGUCGAACGAGUGGCGGACGGGUGAGUAAUGUCUGGGAAACUGCCUGAUGGAGGGGGAUCACUACUGGCAACGGUAGCUAAUAACGCAUACCCUGAGAUGUGCCCAGAUGGGUUUAGCUAGUUGGUGGGGUAACGGCUCACCAAGUCGACGAUCCCUAGCUGGUCUGAGAGGAUGACCAGCCACACUGGAACUGAGACACGGUCCAGACUCCUACGGGAGGCAGCAGUGGGGAGUAUUGCACAAGGGGCGCAAGCCUGAUGCAGCCAUGCCGCGUGUAUGAAGAAGGCCUUCGGGUUGUAAAGUACUUUCAGCGGGGAGGCGUUACCCGCAGAAGAAGCACCGGCUAACUCCGUGCCAGCAGCCGCGGUAAUAC